rnacentral:rRNA from 1 species
AUAAUAAUUAGUUUUUUGAUUGAAAACUAGAAUGAAAGAUUGGAUAAGAAAUAAGCUUUUUUUUUUUAAUUUUAUUGAAUUUAAAUUUUUAGUUAAAAAGCUAAAAUAAUUUAAAAAGACGAGAAGACCCUAUAGAUUUUUAUUUAAUUUAAUAAAUUUAUUUAAUUAAAUUAAAUUUUAUUGGGGGGAUAGAAAAAUUUAAAAAACUUUUUAAUAUUUAAACAUUAAUGUAUGAAUUAUGAAAAAAAUUUUAAACUAUAAACUAAAGUUAUUUUAUAAAUAAAGAUUAAAAUACCUUAGGGAUAACAGCGUAAUUUUAAUUUUAAGAUCAUAUUUAAAUUAAAGAUUGC